UAUUUCAAUAAAUUAAACCAAGGAUGGCUAGGGCUGCACCCUAUAAUAUAUCCAUGUUCAGGUGAGUGCAGCCCUAGCCAUCCUUGGUUUAAUUUAUUUAUAUU